UGUAAGCGUAUACCAAAGUUGUUGCAGUUAAAACGCUCGUAGUCGGACUUUGGCAGUUCCGGAUGUGUGCACGUCGUGUGCGCACUUCGCGGGGAUUGCUUUUGUGGUCUUGCGUAGGAUGAGGCACUUUUAUUAGUGAACGUCCUCACGCAACCACUUUUUACUGUGAGAAAAUCAGAGUGCUCAAAGCAGGCAUUUGCCGUGAAUGUAUUAGCAUGGAAUAAUAGAAUAGGACUUGGUUCUAUUUUGUUGGUUUGUUGGGACUGAGUAAUGAUUAAGAGGGACAGUUGGGGGCAUUUGUAUUUCGGUGCUAGAGGUGAAAUUCUUGGAUUACCGAAAGACAAACUGCUGCGAAAGCGUCUGCCAAGGAUGUUUUCAUUGA
rnacentral:rRNA from 1 species